rnacentral:rRNA from 1 species
AACGAACGCUGGCGGCAGGCUUAACACAUGCAAGUCGAACGGGUGCAGCAAUGCAUCAGUGGCAGACGGGUGAGUAACACGUGGGAACCUUCCUCGUUGUACGGAACAACUCAGGGAAACUUGAGCUAAUACCGUAUACGUCCGAGAGGAGAAAGAUUUAUCGCAAUGAGACGGGCCCGCGUCGGAUUAGCUAGUUGGUAAGGUAACGGCUUACCAAGGCGACGAUCCGUAGCUGAUCUGAGAGGAUGAUCAGCCACACUGGGACUGAGACACGGCCCAGACUCCUACGGGAGGCAGCAGUGGGGAAUCUUGGACAAUGGGCGCAAGCCUGAUCCAGCCAUGCCGCGUGAGUGAAGAAGGCCUUCGGGUUGUAAAGCUCUUUUGUCAGGGACGAUAAUGACGGUACCUGAAGAAUAAGCCCCGGCAAACUUCGUGCCAGCCGCCGCCGUAA